rnacentral:lncRNA from 1 species
UAAAGGAUGUAGGAAAAUAAUUUCCUCUUUUUUAUCACCACUGUUUCACAUUAAAAGGCACUGAUGAAAACAACAGGAUUAUACCCUGGACUCAACUGAACCAUCAGCCAAAACUGAGAUGAGGUAGCUUCCCACCCGAACUUCCUCAUGAUUGGCAGAUCUUGACUGAAAUAAAAUCUGUGUUCUCCCUUACCUACUGUCGAUGGCCAAUUGGACAAUAUUAGAGCUGUGAUCAUGUCCUUGGGAAAAUGCUGUCAACACUCUCUCACGGGACAGAAGCCAGGACAGUCCUCCUGUCAGCUGUUGCAGAAUGAUUGCAUGUGCUCCACUUCCUCUCCAGUGCUGUCAGCUGGGAUUUUAAUGGCAGCUCCUCUCUUGUUUCUGGUGCUGGCUAGUGUCAUGGCCAGUUUUGUUCUGCUUCACCACUAGGAGUCCUGCAACAUUUCCAUUACUGGUGUGAUGGUCCUCUUGGCCAACACUGAUAGCAUUGGCCUUCUCCAUUACAAUGGAGCUUGUAUUGGCCUUUUACAGUAUGUAGCAGCUAAACCUGUGAUAGCAGAGGUAUCUCCAAAGAGCUCCUUUUAAUGUGAACUAUCCUGUGUUGUGUGACUUAAGCACACUUAACUGCCCUUUUGUUAUUUAUAGUUAAUUUUAAUCUUUUCAUUGUUCUACUCAUAUUUUCUAGUAGUACCUCAUCAUUGGUCUGCAACACUGUUCCUGUUCACUGUUAUGAUAUAUGACUAAAUCACUACAGUAUGUCUUUCAUCAAGUGCUUUCAUCAAAUUCCCCCUAUUAGGUGCUGGAUAUGAGUAAUUAAAUGACGUUUGUCACAUGCAGUA